rnacentral:rRNA from 1 species
UACGUAGGGGGCAAGCGUUGUCCGGAAUUAUUGGGCGUAAAGAGCGUGUAGGCGGUCCGGUAAGUCAGCUGUGAAAGUCAAGGGCUCAACCCUUGAAUGCCGGUUGAUACUGUCGGGCUAGAGUCCGGAAGAGGCGAGUGGAAUUCCCGGUGUAGCGGUGAAAUGCGCAGAUAUCGGGAGGAACACCAAUGGCGAAGGCAGCUCGCUGGGACGGUACUGACGCUCAUGCACGAAAGCGUGGGGAGCAAACAGG